GAUGAACGCUGGCGGCGUGCUUAACACAUGCAAGUCGAACGGGAAACCUUUUAUUGAAGCUUCGGCAGAUUUAGAUUGUUUCUAGUGGCGGACGGGUGAGUAACGCGUGGGUAACCUGCCUUAUACAGGGGGAUAACAGUCAGAAAUGACUGCUAAUACCGCAUAAGCGCACAGAGCUGCAUGGCUCGGUGUGAAAAACUCCGGUGGUAUAAGAUGGACCCGCGUUGGAUUAGCUAGUUGGUGAGGUAACGGCCCACCAAGGCAACGAUCCAUAGCCGGCCUGAGAGGGUGAACGGCCACAUUGGGACUGAGACACGGCCCAGACUCCUACGGGAGGCAGCAGUGGGGAAUAUUGCACAAUGGGGGAAACCCUGAUGCAGCGACGCCGCGUGAAGGAAGAAGUAUCUCGGUAUGUAAACUUCUAUCAGCAGGGAAGAAAAUGACGGU
rnacentral:rRNA from 1 species